GUAAUUCUAAAGUCCUGCACAUGCGCAGAGCCCAGUACAACAUCAAAAUGAGCAGUGUUCGCAUGCCACAGACAUAGGCACAAACAAUCAGGGUGACGGGGAACAAUUCCCCCCCUCCCCAACUUUAGGCAGAACGGAGAUGUAUUUUCCCACCACAGAUAUGUGACCGCAACGAGUAGGUUCGGCUCGAGUGUCACACUAC